UCUUUUCACCUCUCUCCCCUCUCUGUCUCUCUCUCUCUCUCCUUCCUCUCUCUCUCUCUCUCUGUCUCUCUUUCCUUCUCUGUCUCUCUCUCUCUCUCCUUCCUUCUCUGUCUCUCUCUCCUCCUGGACAGCUGUAUGUGUGUUUCCUGUCUGUCCUCAGGCCCUAUAUUACAGUCUGUACUGGGAACCAUUAACAUCAUAUUCUAUGUUACUGUUUAACUGUGAACCUCUUCUGACUGUGCAGGUUGGUUGGUAGUAUAAUAGGGCAUCUCACGGCCGGUACAGAGGAACUGAUCUGUUCUAAUAUAGUUGACUAUAGUCCGGGGAGGCACUUCCGUUUGAGUCUGCAGGACAUGAAUAGAGGGUUCAAAGGCACUAGAAAACUCAAUUGUCUAUUUAGUUUUUCUAUGCAACAAGUUUGUUUCCGUGUUUCAAUUUUGUUCUGUAUAGGCCAUAAUAUGUAUAAAAUAAAAAUACAUAAAUGCUGUAAAAAUGAAUAGCAAUUUAUGGAAGUCACAAUGUUCUUAUUGAGGGUAGUACAGUAGGUUCCACGCAGGGAAGCAGAAGCUAACCAAGAAAUUCAUAUUUAUUUUUUGUAGUGAGGAGGAGGGGGGGGUCCCUGUCUCAAACUGUCUGUCAAUAGAACGACGAGGAGAAAGAAUCGUAUUCCCAAGGUCCCUCGAACCGGCAAGCUAUUUUAAUACUGACGUCAUGCGUGGAAUAUACCAGGAUACAUAGUACCGUAGUCAGGUAGGCCAUAAUGCUUAGUGGUUUUCACAUGCCAUGAUCUUCAACAACAACAACAACAACAUACAUAAAUAAAUAAAUAAAUUAAUAAAGUGUUUCUGUUCCCUUAAGAUUUAACAUUCAGCACUUAAAUACUCCUAAAUAAGUCAUAACUUAAAUUAUACAUUAUCAGUGCACUUUUGGUGAAACCAAAUGAGAGAGAGAGAGAGACAGAGACAGAGAGAGAGAGAGAGAGAGAGAGAGAGAGAGAGAGAGAGAGAGAGAGAGAGAGAGAGAGAGAGAGAGAGAGA
rnacentral:lncRNA from 1 species